rnacentral:lncRNA from 10 species
GGGGGAUGGAGUCAGUAGAAGUAUGUGCAGCUGAAGAUGCAGUACAGACCAAGGAAAACAUAAAUUCUACGCAAGUUAGUUUGAACUUUAUUCUUCAAAUAAUGCAUUCCUGCUCUCCGCAUAUCCCUCACCGUGACAUCCUCGAGGCUUAUGAAGAUGCCGUCUCCCAUUCUGUAACCCUGCUUUAGCCGCUACACGGGCCCCUCUUUCCUCCCCACCAUUUUCCUAAACCUGCCUUGCCCCAUAAAAACCAUCCCGGUG